rnacentral:misc_RNA from 1 species
GGACAAACCAAGGCAACUGUUUCUCCCCAGAAAAAGGACCGUCCCACAAAGAAGGAGUCAGACAAAGAAAAGUCUACUCCAAAAUUGACCCCAAAGCGUGCAGUAUCAGGUCGGAAGUCCAGACCAAAAUCAAGGGAGAUAAAGCAAAACGAUGAAAAGAAAGUCCGACUGAAUCACUAGCAGAUAGUUUAAGCAUCAGGUAGUUGGUAGAAUCCGUCCUUACCACAAGAGAUCCGAAUCACCACCAUGAAGACAUCGCUGGCAUUCUGUAAAAGUCAUGUUUACUAACCCUGUUGCUAUCUGUUUAUGUUUAAUUUUUCUUGGACUGCAGGAUAUGUGUUACAUUCUCUUCGAAAAAAUCGACUACAAAUCACUGCAUUUAUAUCUUAUAUUUUGAUUGGCAUUGAAAAGUUUAUAUUAAAAGUAAAAAUAUGCAGUUCAGAAAUAAAUAUUGUAACACAUGUACAUUUAUGAAUAUGUUGAUUCGUAUUCCGUUACCUUUUAUUUUAAGCCGGCUAAUUGAUAAUGUUUAAAGGAUCAGUAAAAUUUAUCAUCUACUAUUUCGUGUACUAGUAUUAUUUUUUGUCAUGACAUUACAUAUAUUUUAGAAUAUAUACCUAUUAAAACAUCAUGUUAUUUUAAUAUAUAGUGGAAAUUUUUUUCACAAUAAUUAAUUUGUUUUGUUCAGAUAUAGAAUUCACAAACUGAAUUGCAGAAAUUAAAAAACGAAACAAU